GUUUUGGCGCAUUUUAUUUCUUUGGUUUUAACUGAGAUCUGGAGUCAUUUCCAUAGAGCAUUUCUAUGUUUGAAGUAACCAGUUUCAUAGUUAUCACGGAUGUGAGCUGAGAGAUACAGAGGUUGCCAGUGAGAACACUCAGUUCCAUAAACUUUGUGUAGAAUCAUCAGAUUCAACUGUAAUGAACUGGAGCCAUUGUAAUAUAUGUGAAUCGUAUAAACAGUAAAAACUCGAAAGCACUAGUCUUUGUUAGUCAACACCGCACACUAAUCGGACAAUUGCUACGAACCACGGCUUGGUCUUGCCUCAUAAUAUAUUGAC